GUUCGAUCCGGAAAGGUGGAAUGAAAUUAGCGGAUUAGAGCUUAGCCCUUAAUCCUUGGGGAGCCGUGCCGUGGAACACGCGCGAACCCAAAAAUCGUCUCUCGCUAUCUUAACUCAAUGUACCAAAAAAGUGCUCGGUUAAACAAUUACAAUAUAAGACGAAAAAUUUUUUAAUGUGGAAAAUAUUCCGUUUAUUAGCUGAACGAACAAGAUUCUAAAAAUGCAUUUAAUGUCAUCAAGUGAAACAUUUGGACGAUAUAUUUUUUAUUACAUAUAAUAAUUCUAGAAUCGAUAAUGGUAAAAUGUAUGAAUUUUAAUUUAAAAUAUAUUUUAAAUAUUUUGAAGAUAUCUAUUUUCUUUUUUUGAAACCAACAUAAACAUAAAGCUUUCAUAAAACACGGGAAUAUACGUAAUUGCGAAUUCUAUAUUUUACUUUCAAAAGUGACAGUAAAAAAGCUAAAGCGCGACCAAGCGCGUAAAAUUAAUUUUCUUUAUGCAACAUGAGCACUAUUUGUGUGUGUGUGUGUGUGUGUGCGUGUGUGUAUGAUAUAUAUGACAAUAAUAUACAAAGUAAAAUAAAAACUGUUACAUUGUUUAACACUUUCAUUUGAAGAACGACAUAGAGAUUUCCAAGCGUCAGAAAAAACAUAAAAAUUCGCUUAACGGCGAUCGUUUAAGUGCCCAUGUGGAGUAAGUGGCGUGCAGUUGGCGUUUCUGUAUUUAAAAUAGCGGCCCGUUAGCGUCGUUGUAGCGCGUUAAUUCGUCCCGGUGAUUAUGGAUCCAUUAGCGUGGCAGCCAACAAAUAGCACGGUACAAUCCAAUAACCGUCGCGGCCCAUAAUAAAAGGGGAGGAACCAGGUUUAGGCACCAGUCGGGGGUAGUUUAGUCGGUGGCGCAUAGUAGCGUGUAUACACACACACACACAUACACGUCCACGACUGUGUAUGAAGAGCUUCACAGACGCGCGCGUGUCCACGGGAUUCACAAGGGUGGCUCGACACCCUCCCCCAAUGCAGGACGCAGCAGAUAGCGAUCAUUGCGUUCAUUGUCGCAUCAUUGUAAUAUCCUCCUGCUCUAACAGGAGGGUUGGACGAACGAAGAAACGCUCGUGGAAUGCCCGGGGUUCCCCGUUCGAUGUCUGCGUGAAAGUACCGAACGGGGUGGACGAUGAGGGAGGGUGGGAUAAAAGCCUUCGACGUCAUUUCUAAAGACCGACAUCAACGAUGUCUCGAUCAUCAACCUACUUCCGUGAACCCGUCAACGUGGCUGAGGAUGCUUAGAUUUCCACCUUCAGUAUCGUUUAGUAUUAAAGCAUCGUAAACAUUUUUAGGGAUCUACAGACAAAUGUCAAUAUUACUAAUAUUUGUGCACGUGUCAUAAAAAUUUAAUCUAAACUUAAAUAAAUUCCAUAAAAAAGUUUGAUUUAUAACGUAAUUGCAUAAACUUUAUGACUGUUAUCCUUAAGAUAGAUGCAUACGAGUAUAUCUUACUCUGGUUUAAAUUCAUUGUGCAGUUUUCCAAAAGACUCAAAGGAUCGCGCGCUGUAUUGGAGCUUGUUCACUCAACAUUCGGCGAUGAAUAUCGGCUUCAGGCGGUGCAGCGAGCUCGCACGGUAUGGCGAGCUAUUAAAUGACGAAUCAUAUUCAUGCGCGAGCAUGCUCGGUUAUCUUCUACGCCAGUAAAAUCGGGAGUUUUAAGCAAACAAGUUGGCCAAUUUUAUUCAUAUUCCAAUCUGUGACAUCAAAAUAAAAAAAAUGUCGAUAUAUAUACAUAUCCCUCUAUCAUUUUGUUAGAUAAAAGUUUUCUCGACCCGUGUUAAUUUGGACCAAAUCGUCGCCUGUAAAUAUUUUAAUAGAUAUUUACACCAUAUUUGCCUCCGUGUUUCUCACGAAAAAAUGAGUAAUUUAUAAAAUAGUUUUAAAACAAAAUUAAUUUUACAAAAAAAAAAUAGAAGAAUCGCUAGAGUAAUACAAGAAAGAAACUAUUUUCAUAUUGUUAUCUAUUUUAAUUACCAACAUAUGGCUAUUUUAAUUAUUUUCAAAUUAUUCUAGUUCGAAACAAACUACACUUAAAUUUAUUUUUUAUUUGCUGCAAUCUUAUUAUAUUAAACAGAAGGAUUGCCAUUUAACUCUCUGACUUCAAUCAUAUUCUUACUCUCUUCUGCAAUUUGAAUUUUUUUAGCCAAAGCUUUCUUAUUAUUUCAGACUGUCAAAAAAUAUAGUAAAAUUUAUAGUUACUUUUUGACAUCUCCAUUGCAUUGCCAAGAAUUUUUUUAACUCAAAUGUUAAAAAUUAUUAUUUAAUAGACAUUGAAAUUUUAGCAGUUUUGAAAAUAAAAUCUUUGCUUGUGCAAAGAAAAACAAAUUACAGAUGUUUAAUAUAUUGUACUCUUUUUUAUUUUGUACAUUGCAAGUGAGUGUGUGAACUCGAUAUAGCAGAUACAAUGUGUGUGUGCGUGUGUGUGAUAUUUUAUUCAUUUGUACGUGCGCAUCCUCAAAAAAAAAAUACAAGACUAAUUUCAACAAAAUCUCGAUUCAUGUAGGGUUCAGCUUCCCAUUUAACUGGCCACCCCUGCAUAAAUGAAAGCUCGCCGUAGACUUCGCGAGAUUCGUUUGAAAGCAGGAUAUGGUGCUAGGAUGAUCGAGGGAGUUCGGUCAACAUUUGAGCACGGUAAACAGUAGCCACUUGUCAAUACCCCUCCCUCAUCUAUCUUUCUCCCUCCGUCCAUCUCUCUCUACCGAUCGACUUUCGAAUUCGGCGUAUAAGUCCUUCGUACGGUUCCCCGUUACACAUUGAUCUUAGCUGGGGGUCGUCUUAGGGACUGAUGCGCCCUGGGAAAUGCCCCUCGGCCGUCGCCUCUGGACGUCACUUGGCGCGAAGCAUAUUGCAUGCGCCGCAAAUUGCGUAAAUACGGGUGGGCAGAAGGUUCGUUAGCGCGUAUGAUGGUCUUUACUAUCACUAGUGCGAAUCCGAUGGAUCCUUUGUGCCGUGCAUUCAACGGAGGAACGACCAGACCUAAUCCGCUUUUUGCUCAACAAAGCGCGGACGCGCAUAGUGAUGUAUGUACGUAACGCGGUGACGGAUCGGGACAAAGUGGCUAGAUGCGCGUUUGCAUUUGCGGCAUCGCAUUGCGAAAUCGUUUUCCUCCUCCCGGGGUUGUCUCGGCGUGGAGAGAUCGGUCCGCGGCACGUAGGAAAUCCGAGCUCCUCGAAAAUGUUGUUCCCCAACAUGAGCCCGCAUCUCAAUUAGACCGUAGGUAGCUUCGAUUUUCAAUUCCUAUUACCGAUCGCAGCAUGGGAAGCCGAUAGGGGGAAGAUAAAGGAAAACAAGAUCGAUUUUCCACAACCGGUUUCGACACGAGCGAGAAUUUUAAGUAGCUCGAGAUACAUUCCUAAGCCGAGUCAAUAAGCAAGCGUGUAUGUACGUACGCGCUUUCACUUUCGUCAAACAGGGAACGCGCAAUGCGGUCGACCGAACGAACCAACGCCACGUCGUUCCUCCGAUACUGCGUUCAAUCGUAUAGGCGAGCUAUACGGCAGGAGAUGUUCCCAGGUGAUUCCCCCUGUCCCUCCGAACGCUAGGCUCUCCCCGUAAGAGAGAAAGUAAGUACGAGGGGGGGAGAGACGAUGCGGGAGGACUCUCUGUGACUUAGGACGUUAACGAGACUAACCGGAUUCAUCGCGCGGCGGUGGCGGCGGCGGCGGCGACGGCGGCAGCCGACGACAGGAGCGGGAGAGCCGGCGGGGAAACGCGCCGAAGAAAGGAGAGCACCGGGCGGUGGCACUGAUUUUAAUCAAGAUAUGGCCUGGCAGCAGCCAACGGCGGAUCAAGCGAGCCAGGGCUUAUCGAUUUUCUAAGUGCUCCCGACCGACCGACCGACGGAGCCGUCGUCGCGCGACACCCGGCGUGAAAUUUGAAACUAAUGGAAAGAGAGAUUUGCACGCGCGCGUGUUUUAUUAUUCGUCCAAUCAUCAAACGUGCAGGCAGAUUUCUUAAAAAAAUAAGCACCGCCGUUCCUCUUACUGUCACCGAGUCGCGGAGUAUUUUAGCUUAGAUAUCGAAUUACGCCUCUCAUUUUAAAUCUAAGAAUCAUGGUUCUAUCUACGGAAGUAGUUUUAUAUUCUAUAACACUCUCGCAUACGUGAUGAAUAUAUGAAUUUAACAUUUAAAAAAAUUCAAAUCAACUUAAUCUUACACACUAAAAACUUCGGUUUGACGUUCAGUUUCCCUCUCCGCGGCAUACAAAUAAGGGAAGUUUAUUCGAACAUUACAAGUUCAAAGCGUAUUUAGCAGAGCAGUUACUAUGUUCUCAAAUAUACCAACGUAAUUUCUAGAUGUAGUUCAAGCAGUUUGCACAUCGUAGAACGAAAUCCUACCCAUGUUCGUAAAAUACAACCGCCGGAAACCAACAUGCUAUGAUUAACUCAUUCCUACACUAGCUAAAUAUCAUAAUUCAACCUUGCUGUCGUGUCGUCGUCAUAACACAAGUCGAGAGUGUAAACGACAAAUAUAAAAAUUGUUUUCUAAUCAUAUUUAAUUAAAGAAUUAUUCGUUAGCCAUAAUUGUUUGUAAACUGUUUAGUAAACUUUUAUUUUAUUUUAUCAGGCAAAUCAAAUAUUAAUUGUAUUAAUUUUAAAGCUCAAAAACUAACGGUGUUUUCACAAUCGUACAAUCUUUCCAAAUGUUUAUAAUAAUUAUUAUAAUUAGCAUUAAUUUUCUGUGUAUUUGUAAUGCAUAAUACACAAAAGAAUUCAAACAUUAAUAGUUAUAUUUGAAAUCAAAGUAAAGAGUAAUUAAUGUGAUUGAAAUCUUUAUUUUAUUAGGAAUAUUUAUUUUGCGAACAUAACAUAUGAUAAUAAAAUUUUUACCUACAUUCUUAUACCAGUUCUUAGACUGAAUUGAUAUAAGAACUACCGUAAUCAAUACAAAGACGAAAUUGGCGAAAAUGAUUUCUGUAAAUUUUACUUAAGGGUCAGUUAAAUAAGGACUGGCAAAAUCCCUAAAAGGACUGCGUCCUAAACAAGAGAUGCGCAUCGCCGCUGAUAAUUGUCGUAAACGAGGUAAUCUCUUAAUCGAUCGUGCGAGUCGACAGCUUUUAUCCAUCUCUAGGAAGAGUAAGACUGAUAUUUUUUGUCGUUUGCCCGUUAAGAGAUUAAAGCCAAGGACUUCGCUCGCUUCGUUUUAGGGCCAUUAUACCCUCUCGAAAAGGGAUAAGGAAAGACACAUAGAAACACAGAGAAAAAGACACAAAGAGAAGAACAGAACGAGAGACGGAGAAAGAGAAUGAGAGAAGACAUACAGAGGGAAAGAGAGAGUGUGUGUAUGUGAGGAGGCGGAAGAGGAGGGUGAAUGCUGAGCUUGCAGAAAGGGUGCCUGGUGAUGCGUACCGCAGCUACCUCGCCAAAUGCAUUAAGACCAUCGUCCCGUCGUCCCUCGCAAUAUCGUACUGAAUUGUACGACUCUUGUUGGCGAGUGCGGCCCGAAUACGCUAUAUUCCUCGCACUUCGUCGAGCGCAACGAAGGUCGACAGCGACGUUCCAUCCAGCCUCUUGGGUGGCCGCGCUUGCCAUCCGAUAUAUAAGCACUCGCGUGGCUCUCGAACGCUGGAAACAUCACGCGCGAAACCUCUCUCGGUCGAUCAGUUAACGUUCGAUCGCGGGACGCUGGCAGGGGGAGGCCGUUGUAAAAGAGAAAUGGAAUCUCGAGGAAAUCGAACGCGUGCCGCAAGGGCGAAACCGGUGGCUCAAGUCGCACCACGGAGCGCCGUUUCCGGAAUGCUGAAAUAAAAACGUCGUCUUACGGCGCGCCGGGGUUGUCACGCGACCUAAAAAAUUUAUCCUCGAGAUUCCUCUUUAUUUCACCCUUCAAAUAAAUUGCGCUUUCAAUAAUGUACAAAGUAUAGAGAAAUUAAUAAAGCGAGUGACGAUUCAAUGGGAAGAAAUUUGAUUGAAACGAUAUUAGAGAGAAAAUAUGUAUCCAUGUUCGUAAAAAAAAAAAACAUGGAAAAAAUUAUUCGUUCGGUCGAUUAAUCGUGUAUUUUAUAUUGAUCAUAUUAGUUUCAUUAUUUCUUCGCGUUGAAAUACAAUACAUACCGCAAAUCUACAAGAAUUAUAAUCGCUCUAUAAAUCGUGCAUUGUAUAAUUUUGCGACAGUUUAAGUUCAAAUUAUUUCCUCCUAAAACAGCAUCUACGUUGUCAUGCAUGUGUUUAAAGUUAUUUUUUACUAAGUGUUACCGAUCAAUUCCUGGGACCGUUUACUACUACGUUAAAAAAUUACAAUUAUAGUUAUAAUAUAUAAUUAUAUAUUAAUUGUAACAAAUAUUCAAUUGUACGAAGAAUAUAUUGUAGUCGAUAAUUGCCCAUAUUAUCUCGAUACUCGAUACGUACGACGCGAUACAUAUUUUAAAUGAAAGUGAUCGUGAACGAAGAUCGUGCCAAACGUUCUCGCGUCGAUAGCACCAUACAUCGCGUAUCGUAGGCAAAGGAAGCGAUAUUACACAGCUCCGAUCCUUCCCUCCCUUCACCCUCCCCCCCCUUUCUCUCUCUCUCUCUCUCUCUCUCAUUCUCCGAUUCGUGUUUGAGUUCCACCGCGAUAUGAAUGUAUCCCUCCCCUUCCUACCCCGGCGCACACGGACGUACGCAUACGCGCAGACACGCAGAUGCGGGUGCCGUGUCGCAUAUCGAUUGAACGGCGUACACGUAUUUACGUGUCCCGUGUAGAGGCAAGCAGGUUCACGUAACACGCUCCGCGGGAACCGAAAUCGUCGGUAAGGGGGGUUGGGAAGGAGCUCGAGGGGAAGCGAGAUCGGAGGUGGUGGGCCGCCGCCUACCCUAGGCGAAACUCCCGUCGCGUCGUCGUCAACAAAGCUGAAGGUGGACGGCGCCAACCCCGGGUGAUAAUGAUACCGUGCCGGGGCAUUUGUCAUGCAUCCAUGUACGAUGCAUUACGACGACAAUGACGACGCGUGGCGUGGCGUGCGAACACCUACCGGAAGUCACAAAGUCGCACCCCAACUGGACUAAUGGCCUAGUCCAAGCGACACUACUUUUUUUGAAACUCGAUUGCAACGGCAAUUAACGUUAAUCUCGAUCAAACCUUCGCUUUCGGGAUUAUAAAGAUAUGUGUUAUAGAUAUAUCUAUAUUUGAAAAAAAUGAUUUAUUAUUAUUUAAAAUAAGAAGAAGUUGCUUGUGACACCUGACUUAGGAUUCGAACAGAAGAAACUGCUCAUCUAUUUGUAAAAGCCAUACGUAUAAUAUUUUUAGCAAGCACUUGUGGAAGACAAACAGAGGAGACGGCUGGUCGAUAAUGAUCUCGUAACGGAACGUGUACGGCCCGCCUAUCUAAUAAAGCAUCAUGUACUCUGAAGAUGCGCAAACGGCAGUUGUCUAAGGUACAAGUCAAUUCGAAUAUCCUAUAGCUAACUUGUUGCUGCAAAUCGCAGGUCGAAUAAUUUAGCCAUUUUAAUCAAUUGAGUACGACAAUUAACUCGAUAUUUAUAUAAAUUUAUAUAAAUACGUUUAUAAAAUAGAUGUAAAAUACUGUCGAUUAUUGCAAAGAUAUGUCAAGAAACAAGCAUAUCGAGUACAUUUGUUCCUACCGCAGUAAAAAUUAAUCCUGGAGUUUUUCUAAUUGUAUUAAUCUUCAGAAUUAAUUACUUUUAAGAAAGAACUUCAAAAAAUUACAUCAAAUUAUAAAAUUGCAAAAAAUAUUUAGAUUAGAAUCGUAAUUAUUUCCAAUACUGAGAUUUCAAUAUUUUUUUACAUGUAUCUUUAGAUGGUAAUUACUAUUUAUUAAGACCUUGCGCGUUACAUCAAAUCCCCAUCUUGCAUUCCUGUCGUUGUACCUCAAGUGAAUACCAGUCUACAUCGAUCGGUUUCCGUAGGAAUGCGAAUCGCGUAUCAACAACGACGGCCACCGAGCGAACAUGAAAGGCGCGGGAGAUAGAAAGCACUACUGAAUGUAUUCGUAGUAUCGCAAAAAAAACACACGUAGUUUUCAAAUUCAUUGCGUGUUUCCGUUUACUUCUAAAAAUUUCCAGUUAAUAAAUUAUUUUUAUCUAUGAACAUGUUGUAAAAAGACACCCUUUUUUUCUAAUCAUUAUUCUCUAGUCAUUGUGAAAGAAGAAAUUUCUCUUCAACGCUGCUUUCUUGCGAUACUCAGAAUGAUGGGUCGAAGGUGUGAGGCACAAUGCAAUCGUAGACUUUCCUGGCCGAUAUCCAUUAGUUAAAUUGUUUCUCUCAAUGUUACUCCUCGGCUUCACCCCCCGUGGGAUCGACUUGUUCGUUUUGGUAAUACGGACAGACGCGAUACAAUUGCCGAAGUAUCGCACUGCAAAGGGAAAGACAAAAAGGAAGAAAGAACGAGAAACUAAAAAAAAAAAUUCGCAGAAGAAAAAUGAUCAGUUUUCACAAAGUUUAAUCGAUUAAUUUACAAUAUCGAUACAUAGAAGAUCACAUCGAAGAAAUUGAAAAGUAAGAAGCCGAUAAGUCGGAGUUGAAAAUCUGAUUACGAGAAGUCAGCAGAUAUGGCACAAAGCUUCCAAAAAAAUGGAGAUCAUUCAUAAUCCGAAUAAAAUCACAUUUUUUCCUGGAAAAGCGCAUUUAUGGUAUCAGAAUAGUACAGCGAAAACAUCGGCUCGGAUAACAAAAAUAAAUACUUAAAACACGACAAUAUGCAAAAUAAUAUCUUUUGAAGAUGUUCCCUUUGCAAUUUUCCAUACAGAUGAAUUUAAGGAAAGAAAUUAAUCUGGAUGCUUGUCUAAGGAUAUACAAGAUGAGAAAAAUUCUGCAACUAAAGAAAUUUCCAGAAAACAGUAUGAGAAAUACAAAUUUGAAUUUCUCAAUUCUCAAAUCUUGUGAUUAACUGACACGUUAGCUUAUUUCAUGUACACGUGCUACAAGAAUCAGUUCGUAUUCUUCUAAGAAAAAAAAAUAAACAAAUUAUUUCCACAAAUAACUUGUUUUGUUUAUCAAACGAAAUAAAAGUCUGAAAUUACCUUAGAAGAGCGAAAUGAUGAUCAAGAUCUGAAGUAAAUAAACGAGACAACCGCACGAAAUCUGCUUUUUCAAAUUAAUUGUUUAACCUUCGUUCGGUCUCGAACAAGGCCAACGUGUUCGAGUUCACACACUGUGCGGAAGAACUCAAUAUGCACGUUUGGCGAAUGUCUUUCGCAAUUACGGAAAUUCAAUAUGAGAAAAGGCGACAUUAUAGGUCGCAAAUUUCGCAAUUUCCUCAUGAUUCAAGCCGGAUCAAAGAACGACGCGAUUUCCGUAAUGCGGUUGCUCACAGGUGGUGAAUUACGACAGAUUGUGGCGAUUAAUGGCAGAAAAGAACGAUCAAAGAAAGCUCUCGCCUUAUCCCCCUCCUCUCUCAUUCCCACUCUUUCUCUCUCAAAUAGGCCAUUUACAUCGAUUAAGCUUGAGCCGCAGAAUUUGGGGAUGGCCGAGGCCGUAUGCUCAUCACUUCCAAUGUCCAUAUAAACGCCACGCUGGGAAUCGCACAUCUGGCGAUCGAGCAACAAGUACACGCAUUAAAUGUAUCCCGCUUACCGACUUCAAUUACAUAGAGUGCACCCUGCUGUACACUGUAACUUUUGCAAUUUUUAUAUCAAUAGAAUCGAGCUGAAGUACCGAGACCGCCAUUCUGCGAUUUCGAAACGGUGAGAAAUAUUUCACAUUAAAAUAUACUAAUAAAUAUAUAAUAAAUAAUAAAAUAUACUAAUAAAAUCUCUUCUUAUUCUUUUUACGUAUUUCAAGCCACAAAUAUAAUAAGAUGAAGUGAAUCUCAAUUUAACUCUCAAAUGCGAUACGUAUAUAGAUUAAUUUCAAGUAAUGUAUGUACAUACGUAUACAUCAAUAAAUAUCGAUAUAUAAAUUUCACGUAGUUCUAGAAUAAAAAAUUCCUAAUUUUCACGUAAAAUUUCAUUUAAUUUAUUUUGCAUGACAAUCUCCCUAUAACAAUGAUCAGAACUUAUUUGACAAUUUUUUACGUAACAAUUAUUUAUAGAGGCAAAUAAGAGAUAAUAACAUUAGCUUUUUAAUAAUCUUACGAUUUGUAGAAACGAUACAGAUAUCAACAAUCUAGAUCACGGGCGUGAGAAAGAAUAAUCGCAUUGCUUAAAUUCCACAGGCACUUGUAACGAUUGCAAAUUAGUUCUAUUAGUGUCAAGGUGCGUAGUGAAUGCAAGGUCGAAAUCAUAAGAUGCAACUACCCCAUAUAAGAAAUAGAAAGUAAAUGAGCAACGCACACUAUAGGCUACGCAAGUAUUCCGUCGUUGCUCCCCGAAGAAGUAUAAUUACAUCUUAUUGUGCGUAACCGUUUGAUGUAUAAAAAAUUACAGCAUCGCACAAGGUAUGCAUAAGUAAUAAUCUAUCUGCAACUCUUUUAGAAAACGUAUAAUUGUCGAUCCUACAAGUAGCUCUAAUCAAUCCAGAGAUCUAUAAUUUUAUUUCAUUUUAGACUCUGUAAUAUUUUCAUUAUUAACUUAUAUACAUAUAUUUGUAUAGAAUGCCUUAUCAUUGUAUUACUUGAAACUUGUCGUGAGACGAAAAAUGUGACAACAUACAUCUGUAAUUAUAUACGAGACCUUAUAUUCCAUACCAUUCAUUAAAGACGAGACCCAGAUAUGAGAAUAUAAAAAAAUUAAAGCUUUUUCGUACUAAUAAAAGGUAUAUAAUUGUGUUAUAUAUUAUAAAAACACAUCAAAUGUAAUGUUUUAAAAGUGUCCAAACCCCAAUAUAAAAUCAAAGAUAAAAUCUGAAAUACCCAAGACGAGGCUAUCGAUUGUGUAAGCGUCGUAGGAAUCUUCCUCUAGUAAGAAUCUUUUACACAACGUAUUUGCCUGUGCAAAUAACUCUCGAUUUCCCGCGUACCAUUUCCCUUUACUUUGCGCAACGAAGGAGGAAGCGGGGAAACAACAAUGUCCCGUAAAUCAAUUGCUACACGAUUAGCAAUAAUUUUUCAUAAUGCGUACCGCGGCGUGUCUUUCAUCGUUCCCCUAAUUCUCAUUAGUCAUCAAACUCUCAUCGCCAAAAAGGCGCAGACGAUUACGACGUACAUACAUGUCACACGUACACGUAAACUCCCCUGGGCACUCGGCGCUCUCACAUAUGUACACAUCUAUGAAGAUACCCCAGCGCUUGCGCAACCCGCGCCUUCACGUGUACCAUUACUACGAACGUUACUACGACGAGUACUACAAUCGUAAGCGUAGAUACCGUGAGGCAGAGCAAGCUGAACAUUGUGGACCGUAGACUGAAGCUCGAUAAUCCCACGAUACUGAAAAGUAACAGGGAAAGCACAAACGUUUCGUAUAUGUAAAACUGAUAAUGGUAUAGACACGAUACGAAAAUCAAAAAUUAAUUUGCGGUAAUUCAGCAAACAUAAUAUAUGUGGAUUCCUAAAAAGAUUAACUAAUUUAAUAUUAUUAUUAUUGUAUGUUAGUGAAUAAAAUAAAAACAGUAGUCGAAUUAUAAUUUUUCUUUA
rnacentral:lncRNA from 1 species